GGGUAGCGGAUGACCGCCGGCAGCAAUGCUGGAGGAAAGUCCGGGCACCAUAGGGCAGGAUGCUGGAUAACGUCCAGGCGCGGUAACGCGACAGACAGUGCAACAGAAAGCAAACCGCCAGGUUCGGGCGCAAGUUCGGACAAGGUAAGGGUGAAACGGCGAGGUAAGAGCUCACCGCAUUCCUGGUGACAGGGAUGGCAUGGUAAACCUCAUCCGGUGCAAGACCAAGCAGGUCUCCGUCCGCAAGGACCAGUCGCUGCCCGCGGCUGUUGGAUUCCGGGUAGGUCGCUUGAGGCGGUCGGUAACGAUUCGUCCAGAGAGAUGGUCAUCGCCCCGUAAGGGGUACAGAACCCGGCUUAUAGUUGCCCUAAA
rnacentral:RNase_P_RNA from 1 species